rnacentral:tRNA from 1 species
CUAGCUAGAGAGGAAUUACCCCCUCCUUAAUGG